rnacentral:rRNA from 1 species
GGGGGGGGGGGGGGGGGGGGCGGGGGGGGGGGAGGGGGGGGAACGGGCGGGGAGGUUGCGUCUCUUAUGUUAGCGGCGGAGGGGUGAGUCGGCCGUGGGUAACCUCCCUCUAAGACUGGGCGACCGUCGGGAACCCGGGGCUACUCCAGAGUGCGAUUUUGCACCGCAUGGUUCACAAGUGCACGACGGUCUUGCUGUCCCUUAUCGCUAGAUCCGCCCUGCAUUUGCUAGUUGGUAAGGUAACGGCUUACCAAGGCAACGCUGCAUAGCCGACCUGAGAGGGUGAUCGGCCACACUGGAACUGAGACACGGUCCAGACUCCUACGGGAGGCAGCAGUAGGGAAUCUUCCGCAAUGGGCGAAAGCCUGACGGAGCAACGCCGCGUGAGUGAUGAAGGUCUUCGGAUCGUAAAACUCUGUUAUUAGGGAAGAACAUAUGUGUAAGUAACUGUGCACAUCUUGACGGUACCUAAUCAGAAAGCCACGGCUAACUACGUG